GAUGAACGCUGGCGGCGUGCCUAAUACAUGCAAGUCGAACGCUGGAAAUCUAGCUUGCUAGAUUGAAGGAGUGGCGAACGGGUGAGUAAUACAUAAGCAACCUACCCACGAAGACUGGGAUAAUCUCUGGAAACGGGGACUAAUACCGGAUAGGUAAUCGGAAGGCAUCUUCUGAUUAUUAAAGGUUAAAAACACUGGUGGAUGGGCUUAUGGCGCAUUAGUUAGUUGGUGAGGUAACGGCCCACCAAGACGAUGAUGCGUAGCCGGGCUGAGAGGGUGAACGGCCACAUUGGGACUGAGACACGGCCCAGACUCCUACGGGAGGCAGCAGUAGGGAAUUUUCGGCAAUGGGGGAAACCCUGACCGAGCAACGCCGCGUGAGUGAGGACGGCCUUCGGGGUGUAAAGCUCUGUUGUAAGGGAAGAACGGUAGAUAGAGAAUAUCUAAAUGACGGUACCUUACCAGAAAGCCACGGCUAACUACGUG
rnacentral:rRNA from 1 species